rnacentral:lncRNA from 1 species
UCACCAACACCAAAGGAAAGAGUAGGAUUACAAAGUGUGGAAGACCUGGUUCUCCUCUCUGGAGUCUAGUGUCCACUCAUUUGUCAUACGUUUGUUGUGUGCAGGUAACGUGCCAGAGUGUACCCGUGGUCUGAGGACAUAAAGAUGAAUAACAUAUGGUUACUGCUCCCCUUAGCCAUUGGGAAGGAAAACCAGGUAAAUGACUGUAGUUCAGCAUGAUGCUGUAAUUGAAAUGUAUACAAGGUACUAUGAUAGCACUGGGGAAAAAAAGUCCAAGGAAUUCAAUGCUUUUACUUAACUUGUCAACAGCAUAUCUCCAGGAGAUUAGUAGAUCCCCUGAGGGAGAAUCCAGAAUAGCCUCAUUCUCAACUAAGAAGUUUUAUAAAAAUGAUUGUCUGCUUCCCUCUCCUGGACUAAGAAGGAGAACACUCAGCUAGGUCAUCUCCAUUCAUUUACUUGGAAUCAGGGGCUCUUCUUUUUUCCUUCCACACCAACAGCUUUAUGAGCCAGGAGGACUCAGAUCAUUUUGGAGCAAUUGUGUCAGCAAUCCAGAAUUGUACAGUAACUCUCUUGGGCUACUUCCCUGACAUCUGGAAUCCAUGAAGACUCCAAGAGAUAUAGUCCUCAACUCAAAGCAAGACAAUUUUCUACCCGGUUUUCCACUUGCCAAGUUCCUGUCACUAUGCUUUUGGCUUGGACACCUGGACUUAUUCUUCAAAGACAACUCAAGUUCUUUCUCCCUCAAGUUCCAGACAUUGCUGGAAGCAGAGAUGGACAAGAUGUUACCCACACUGGUUCUGAUACCCGUGACCCAUUUAUCCCAAGGAGAAAUUAUCCAUGUGGCAUACUGGCUUAACAUCUAGACCACCAAACAAAGACUCCACCAUUCUCCUUGAGGAGUAAGCUUUUACACUAACUUCAGCACUAUUCUGAAAUGUCUUUGUCUUACCAGUGCAAAGCUGGCCUAAGGAUUUUAAUACUGAAGUUCACAGUCAGGCAGUAACACCCAAAAUAAACUGUUCUUCCUAAGUAUAAACA